AUUGAACGCUGGCGGUAGGCCUAACACAUGCAAGUCGAGCGGUUGACGGGAGCUUGCUCCCUGAUUCAGCGGCGGACGGGUGAGUAAUGCCUAGGAAUCUGCCUAUUAGUGGGGGACAACGUUUCGAAAGGAACGCUAAUACCGCAUACGUCCUACGGGAGAAAGCAGGGGACCUUCGGGCCUUGCGCUAAUAGAUGAGCCUAGGUCGGAUUAGCUUGUUGGUGAGGUAAUGGCUCACCGAGGCGACGAUCCGUAACUGGUCUGAGAGGAUGAUCAGUCACACUGGAACUGAGACACGGUCCAGACUCCUACGGGAGGCAGCAGUGGGGAAUAUUGGACAAUGGGCGAAAGCCUGAUCCAGCCAUGCCGCGUGUGUGAAGAAGGUCUUCGGAUUGUAAAGCACUUUAAGUUGGGAGGAAGGGUUGUAGAUUAAUACUCUGCAAUUUUGACGUUACCGACAGAAUAAGCACCGGCUAACUCUGUGCCAGCAGCCGCCGCCG
rnacentral:rRNA from 1 species